UACGGAGGGGGCUAGCGUUGUUCGGAAUUACUGGGCGUAAAGCGCACGCAGGUGGCUGAGUCAGUCGAUUGUGAAAGCCCUGGGCUUAACCUGGGAAUUGCAGUCGAUACUACUCAGCUAGAGUAUGGGAGAGGGUAGUGGAAUUCCCGGUGUAGCGGUGAAAUGCGUAGAUAUCGGGAGGAACAUCAGUGGCGAAGGCGGCUACCUGGCCCAAUACUGACACUCAGGUGCGACAGCGUGGGGAGCAAACAGG
rnacentral:rRNA from 1 species